GCUCGGUGAAUCGGUGGACACUCCUUGCAUUGCCUUCUCUCUCUCUCUCUCUCUUCCUUGCUCUCAUUUUCAAUCAUUGCUCUCUUCUAAUUAUCCCUCUCUCCCCUUCUCUUCCAAAUACCGGACCAACUUCUCCCUUUCACUUGCUUACACCUUGCGGCACAAAUCAGGAAUCAAGUAAAUUCUCGACAAGUUGAAACAUGCUAACGAAAGGAAAAUGGAAGGAAGGGACUCACUUUGGUAUCUCUGAACAGGUUUAUAUCAAUCAGUUUGCGUUACAAUUGUCAAAGGUUAAAGGAAUUUAGCUUCUUAGAUUCCAGUUAAGAAGAAAGACUUUGGGUAGUGGACGUCGAUGUUAGUGCUGAACCACUAUAAAUUUUCUUUUUAAUUUUACUGCAUCUUAUUUAUAGUUUGUUUCUAUUAACUUAUCUACUUUUAGCUUUAUAAUUGUUUGGUUGAGUUGGGACAGGUUAAUCUGUCCAAAGAAUUACUAAUUUA